AGAGUUUGAUCAUGGCUCAGAUUGAACGCUGGCGGCAGGCCUAACACAUGCAAGUCGAACGGUAACAGGAAGAAGCUUGCUUCUUUGCUGACGAGUGGCGGACGGGUGAGUAAUGUCUGGGAAACUGCCUGAUGGAGGGGGAUAACUACUGGAAACGGUAGCUAAUACCGCAUAACGUCGCAAGACCAAAGAGGGGGACCUUCGGGCCUCUUGCCAUCGGAUGUGCCCAGAUGGGAUUAGCUAGUAGGUGGGGUAACGGCUCACCUAGGCGACGAUCCCUAGCUGGUCUGAGAGGAUGACCAGCCACACUGGAACUGAGACACGGUCCAGACUCCUACGGGAGGCAGCAGUGGGGAAUAUUGCACAAUGGGCGCAAGCCUGAUGCAGCCAUGCCGCGUGUAUGAAGAAGGCCUUCGGGUUGUAAAGUACUUUCAGCGGGGAGGAAGGGAGUAAAGUUAAUACCUUUGCUCAUUGACGUUACCCGCAGAAGAAGCACCGGCUAACUCCGUGCCAGCAGCCGCGGUAAUACGGAGGGUGCAAGCGUUAAUCGGAAUUACUGGGCGUAAAGCGCACGCAGGCGGUUUGUUAAGUCAGAUGUGAAAUCCCCGGGCUCAACCUGGGAACUGCAUCUGAUACUGGCAAGCUUGAGUCUCGUAGAGGGGGGUAGAAUUCCAGGUGUAGCGGUGAAAUGCGUAGAGAUCUGGAGGAAUACCGGUGGCGAAGGCGGCCCCCUGGACGAAGACUGACGCUCAGGUGCGAAAGCGUGGGGAGCAAACAGGAUUAGGUACCCUGGUAGUCCACGCCGUAAACGAUGUCGACUUGGAGGUUGUGCCCUUGAGGCGUGGCUUCCGGAGCUAACGCGUUAAGUCGACCGCCUGGGGAGUACGGCCGCAAGGUUAAAACUCAAAUGAAUUGACGGGGGCCCGCACAAGCGGUGGAGCAUGUGGUUUAAUUCGAUGCAACGCGAAGAACCUUACCUGGUCUUGACAUCCACGGAAGUUUUCAGAGAUGAGAAUGUGCCUUCGGGAACCGUGAGACAGGUGCUGCAUGGCUGUCGUCAGCUCGUGUUGUGAAAUGUUGGGUUAAGUCCCGCAACGAGCGCAACCCUUAUCCUUUGUUGCCAGCGGUCCGGCCGGGAACUCAAAGGAGACUGCCAGUGAUAAACUGGAGGAAGGUGGGGAUGACGUCAAGUCAUCAUGGCCCUUACGACCAGGGCUACACACGUGCUACAAUGGCGCAUACAAAGAGAAGCGACCUCGCGAGAGCAAGCGGACCUCAUAAAGUGCGUCGUAGUCCGGAUUGGAGUCUGCAACUCGACUCCAUGAAGUCGGAAUCGCUAGUAAUCGUGGAUCAGAAUGCCACGGUGAAUACGUUCCCGGGCCUUGUACACACCGCCCGUCACACCAUGGGAGUGGGUUGCAAAAGAAGUAGGUAGCUUAACCUUCGGGAGGGCGCUUACCACUUUGUGAUUCAUGACUGGGGUGAAGUCGUAACAAGGUA
rnacentral:rRNA from 1 species